rnacentral:lncRNA from 1 species
CCUUGCACUGUCAAUUUCUUUGCUGCCUGUUGAGCCAUCAAAGUCAAGGCGUUGUUUCUUCGAGCACCUGCUGUGAUGUCGAUUGGUUCCAACAGUAAUAUAUGCAGUACCGAGAAAAGUUCAUUCCUUCGAUCAAAGGCGUGGUCUAACGGGACCUUUACCGAUGCACGCGAGCUGUUCGGACAAGUUAUCACUCGUAGAUGUGGCU